GUCUUAUCUACCUCGGCCCGUGCUCGCGGACCUUCACGUCCUAUCUCGUGUGUCAUGGCUGGCACAGACACUGCUGAAUGGAACAACGGUGGCAGGAGCCUGUUUACAAGUCCCUGGGCUAGAUUCCUGGAAGGAUAAUUCCUGGGUCACUUGACAUUCUGAUCGAUGCGGUCUGAUGGCCUCCCCCUAAGACCCUUCCCCCAGCCCCUGCCCAGCAGAGGAGUUUACAGAUGGGGAAACUGACACUCCGGAUGGCAGGUGAUUUGCCCACUGUUCGGUUCAAAGAACACUCGCUCACAAACCAGUCCGUCCUAAAGGAAAUCAGCCCUGAAUAUGCAUUGGAGGGACUGACGCUGAAGCUGAAGCUCCAAUACUUUGACCAUCUGAUGUGAAGAACUGAUUCAUUGGAAAAGAUCCUGAUGCUGGGAAAGACUGAGGGCAGCAGAAGGGAGUGACAGAGGAUGAGACGGAUGGAUGGCAUCACCGAUUCAACAGACACGAGUCUGAGUGAACUCUGGGACAUGGUGAAGGACCAGGAAGCCUGGCAUGCUGCAGUCCAUGGGGUCACAGAGUCUUGGCAUGACUUGGCAACUGAACAACAGCCACAAAGAACAAUGAAGAUUUCUGCUUCCAGCCGUUAUUUCCUGAACACUCCAGACUGUGAACCGGUGCUGGAGAUGGUGAGCUGGGCAGAACGGUGCUCCUAGGAUCUCAGGGAGGCAGGCGUGAUGGACAAUCUUCCGAAGAGCAUCCUUCCCUUGCGCUGUGGGCACGUCUCCACCUUCCAGACGCACUGACCCUCCUAACUCCUGCGUGUCCACCCGUGAGGUCAAGCUGCCUUUGAAGAUAAGGGCAGGGACGCCUGCUGGAGGGGAUCUUCCCAACCCAGGGAUGGAACCCAGGUCUCCCGCAUUGCAGGCGGAUUCUUUACCAGCUGAGCCAGCAGGAAGCCUGAAUUUUGGGUAAGUGGCCUUAAACUUGGUAGAAAGGAGACAGAGAGAGACAGAGUUAACAGAGGGGACCAGACUUGGCGCCGACACAGGGAGGAGAAAGCUGCAGCCACUGUACCCCGAGAGCCGCCUCUUCCAGCCGAGGGGGGGGCGGGGGACAAGGCUUGUUUUGGGGUGCCUGGGGUGAGGUGGUUGAUGAGCACCGGGCCCUGC